CCCUUAGAUGUUCUGGGCCGCACGCGCGCUACACUGACGAAUGCAACGAGCUUAUAACCUUGGCCGAAAGGUCUGGGUAAUCUCCAAAUUUCGUCGUGAUGGGGAUAGAUUAUUGCAAUUAUUAAUCUUCAACGAGGAAUGCCUAGUAAGCGCAAGUCAUCAGCUUGCGUUGAUUACGUCCCUGCCCUUUGUACACACCGCCCGUCGCUCCUACCGAUUGAAUGGUCCGGUGAAGCGUUCGGACCGUGGCCUUUGGACGGUUCGCCGUCUGUUGGCUGCGGGAAGUUCGUUAAACCUUAUCAUUUAGAGGAAGGGGAANUCGUANCA
rnacentral:rRNA from 1 species